CAGCACCUCAAGUGGUCAGGAUGAUUAUUGGGCCUAAAGCAUCCGUAGCCGGCUCUGUAAGUUUUCGGUUAAAUCUGUAUGCUCAACAUACAGGCUGCCGGGAAUACUGCAGAGCUAGGGAGUGGGAGAGGUAGACGGUACUCGGUAGGAAGGGGUAAAAUCCUUUGAUCUAUUGAUGACCACCUGUGGCGAAGGCGGUCUACCAGAACACGUCUGACGGUGAGGGAUGAAAGCUGGGGGAGCAAACCGGAUUAGAUACCCGAGUAGUCC
rnacentral:rRNA from 1 species